AUACGGAGGAUGCGAGCGUUAUCCGGAUUUAUUAGGUUUAAAGGGUGUGUAGGCGGUAUUUUAAGUCAGUGGUGAAAUCUCGGAGCUUAACUUCGAAACUGCCAUUGAUACUGGAAUACUUGAGUAUAGUUGAGGUAGGCGGAAUAUGUAAUGUAGCGGUGAAAUGCAUAGAUAUUACAUAGAACACCGAUUGCGAAGGCAGCUUACUAAACUAUUACUGACGCUGAUGCACGAAAGCGUGGGGAGCGAACAGGAUUAGAAACCCUAGUAGUCC
rnacentral:rRNA from 1 species